UACAGAGGGUGCAAGCGUUGUUCGGAAUCAUUGGGCGUAAAGGGCGUGUAGGCGGUAUGUUAAGUCAUGUGUGAAAUCCCUCGGCUCAACCGGGGAACGACGCAUGAAACUGGCAAGCUAGAGUACCAAAGAGGGUGGUGGAAUUCCCGGUGUAGCGGUGAAAUGCGCAGAUAUCAGGAGGAACACCGGUGGCGAAGGCGGGUCUCUGGGCCGAUACUGACGCUGAGGAGCGAAAGCGUGGGGAGCGAACAGG
rnacentral:rRNA from 1 species